CUCCGGACCUUUAACACUGAAACACAAACAACACGACAGGUGAGUCUACCUGGUGAAGGUGAGUCUACCUGGUGAAGGUGAGUCUACCUGAGGAAGGUGAGUCUACCU